UAGUCCGAUUGCAUAUUUGAUUGUGAAAAAAACUUCGAUCUACCUCUAUUUAGGAACAAGGGCCUUCAACCUCGUUUAAGAAUGAGGUUCAGCUUGAAGUUGACGUCCGUGUUUAAGAAUAGAGGCCUUCACCUACUGAAGAGCAGGUCGGCAUGGAGUUGACAUCCAUUUUUAAAAAUAGGGGCCUUCACCUACUGAAGAGC
rnacentral:lncRNA from 1 species